CAGAACGUUUACAAUGAGGUUAGAAAUUUUUUGUUUUGCAUUAUAUUUAUUAAUGUUUUGUGAUAAAUGUGUCUUUGGUUACGUUCCAAGAGAAAGGAAUUUUACGUAUUUACAUCCCACAGUUCACCCUUGUCCUGAACAACAAAUUUUAUUGAGGGGAAUGUGCCGGAUAAUUUCUAAUCAAUACACAGAAUAAGUUUUACUUCAUGGAGAAAAUAAAAAACAUUAUUUUUUGUUAAUCUUUAUUUGAUAAACAUGGAUUAGCAUUUAACUUAUAUUAUAUUAUAUUCAAGCAAGUAAAUACUAAGUAGUAACUGCUGUAGUUAUCAUGAAGUAGGUGAAGAAAGUCCAUUAUUUUUAUCUGUAAUAAAUAAAAACAUUAUAAAACAACUAAAAAUAA